rnacentral:rRNA from 1 species
UGUGUAGGCGGCCACGCAAGUCGGAUGUGAAAUCCCUGGGCUCAACCCAGGAAGUGCACCCGAUACUGCGUGGCUUGAGUACCGGAGAGGUUGGUGGAAUUCUCGGUGUAGAGGUGAAAUUCGUAGAUAUCGAGAGGAACACCGGUGGCGAAGGCGGCCAACUGGACGAGUACUGACGCUGAGACACGAAAGCGUGGGGAGCAAACAGGAUUAGAUACCCUGGUAGUCCACGCCGUAAACGAUGGGUGCUAGGUGUCACGGGCUUUGACUCCUGUGGUGCCGUAGCCAACGCAUUAAGCACCCCGCCUGGGAAGUACGGCCGCAAGGCUAAA